CGUAAAUGAAUUUCUGAUUUUUUUAAAGAUUUUUUGACUAUUCGUCUUAUUUAAAAUUCUUUUAUGAUUAAUAUUUUUAUUGUUACCACAUGAUAAAACAUGAAUAGUAUUUUAUGUGUGACUAAUUUUUUUAAUUUUUUAAUAUAUUUUUCAAAUAAGAUGGACAGUCAAACGCUUGACCUAACGCUUGACCCAGA
rnacentral:pre_miRNA from 1 species